UGUGUUGGAGCCAUUUGAAAACAGGCUACCUGGCUGCCCGUGCUCACGGCUCUUCCUGAAAUCCCAUGGCUCCAGUACUCUAACAUCUUGCUCUGUAAGAGAGACUGAAAGCACAAUUUGAUUUAGAGAAUUAAAUUUAUUGUCACCCCAAAAUAAAGGUACUCAUCUUGGGUUACUCGUAAGCAUUCUGAAGUAAAAUUUUAAACACGAUUUUGAGCAACAGAUGGCCAUGUUGUGACCCGCGGGCCUCCACGGAGCACGCCUCUUUGCAAAACACGGGAGCACCAGACCUGCCCUCAUCUUUGCUGUGACGGUGAUGAUCAAAGUUCUCUGCAAGUACACCUCAAGGGAGUAAGUCCAUACAACUGAUUCCUUCGUGACCAGAGGCUCCUGACUUCCAAAACAACAGCACAGGUCAGAGGAAGAACGAGAGGAGGAGGAGGAGGAGAGGGAAAGAGACAAACAGACUCCCCGCCGAGCAUGGAGCCUGACACGGAGCUGGAUCCCACAACCCUGAGAUCACGAUCCAAGCUGAAAUCAAGAGUCAGACGUUUCAUGGACUGAGCCACCCAGGUGCCCCCCCUUGGAUUUUCUUUAACGGAAGAAUGUCCACGUGAGAAUUUUGAUGUACUUACUUCUUACCUCAUCUCAAGAGUGCGCCAAUUCACGGAAAUAAAUCAAUUAUCAGAUUCCAAUGACCAGAAACUAUGCCAGUUCAAUCACAUGAGGGAAGACUGCUGAAUUUUGCUAAAAAAAAAAAAAAGUUUUCAAAAAUGUCGAGUGACCCGAAGUGUCAAAGGAAUCUCCAUAAAGCGUGUGAUAAUAUUUGAAAUAGUACCCUCUCUGUUCCCUUCACCCUUUGCAAACAAUACGUUCCUAAAUUGUUUUUCUAUUAGGGACAUUGAAUGUGCAGCCUUCACAGGGAAUCUUGGUUUUCCUGGGCUCAGGAGGGAAAGCCCAUAGUCAAAGAUGAAAAGUCCCGUGUUGUCUCAAUAUUGCUUUAAUUCCUUUCAAAGUAUUUUAUGGUUACGUGAUGUAACUGAGAAUGAGGUUUCACUCCAGAAUAAUUACUUCUCAGGAUCCUUUUCAGGAAACUUUGUUCUUAUUUGGGUUUGGAGGACUAUAGCUUGAUGUCCUGUCAUUACAUUCAAAGUCCUUAACAUCGCUGAUUAUGUAGUUAGGAAACAGGAGAAGCCUCUGGGACACGCUCUGCACAUAAACCAGACCACAAAUAUUUUAGGAUCAUCUCAUUGCUUGAAAACACUUCAAAAUUCCAAAGCUCUCAUUGGAGGAGAAGGAAGAAGCUACCUUGGGAAGUGCGGUGGGGGCUCCACGAGGAUACCCACUUGUCCAUAUUCUGUAUUUAUCCAUUUGUGCAUUUAUGACUUCCUACAUGCUUUCACAAAACAUUUAUCAAGCGCCUCCUGCUUUCCAGGGUGGGUUCUUCUUUAAAACUGUAUUAUCUCUGGGACAAAAGGAUGUUCAUUUUAUCACUGGUUGAAGGUGUCCCGUCCUACAGGAACAACUAUAAAAUAAUAAACCAUUUCCUCCUUCCCUCAACUAACACACACUCCACACCCUGGAAAAUACAAAGACAAGUAAGAAAUGCUCCGUUUGAAAACUUGCUCCGUGGUCUAAUCUCCAAUCUCUAAUCUCCUCAUUGUACGUAAUGCUACAAGCUUCUGUAUUUAUCAUCACCCGGGAUGUGUUUGAAUAAGACCAUCUGUGAAAGCGUGCAAAAACAUAUCUAUUAUCAUUCUGAUUCAUUUUAUGGAUGAUUCCCUUCAGAUGUUUGAAAACACAAAAUUCGAACACGUGAAAAAAAAUAACUUCUUAUUGCUUUGUUGUCUUUCUUUAUCUGUAAAAAAUGGUGUAUUUCAUCUUCAGGCUAUAAAACGUCUCGAAUAAACAAGCUAAAUCUUGA